rnacentral:rRNA from 1 species
GUACACUCCUGCGGGAGGCAGCAGUGGGGAAUAUUGCACAAUGGGCGCAAGCCUGAUGCAGCCAUGCCGCGUGUAUGAAGAAGGCCUUCGGGUUGUAAAGUACUUUCAGCGGGGUGGAAGGCGAUAAGGUUAAUAACCUUGUCGAUUGACGUUACCCGCAGAAGAAGCACCGGCUAACUCCGUGCCAGCAGCCGCGGUAAUACGGAGGGUGCAAGCGUUAAUCGGAAUUACUGGGCGUAAAGCGCACGCAGGCGGUCUGUCAAGUCGGAUGUGAAAUCCCCGGGCUCAACCUGGGAACUGCAUUCGAAACUGGCAGGCUAGAGUCUUGUAGAGGGGGGUAGAAUUCCAGGUGUAGCGGUGAAAUGCGUAGAGAUCUGGAGGAAUACCGGUGGCGAAGGCGGCCCCCUGGACAAAGACUGACGCUCAGGUGCGAAAGCGUGGGGAGCAAACAGGAUUAGAUACCCUUGUAGUCCC